UACGUAGGGUGCAAGCGUUGUCCGGAAUUAUUGGGCGUAAAGAGCUUGUAGGCGGUUUGUCGCGUCUGCUGGUGAAAUUUCGGGGCUCAACCCCGAACUUGCAGUGGGUACGGGCAGACUAGAGUGUGGUAGGGGAGACUGGAAUCCUGGUGUAGCGGUGAAAUGCGCAGAUAUCAGGAGGAACACCGAGUGGCGAAGGCAGGUCUCUGGGCCACUACUGACGCUGAGAAGCGAAAGCAUGGGGAGCGAACAGG
rnacentral:rRNA from 1 species